rnacentral:rRNA from 1 species
UACAGAGGGUGCAAGCGUUGUUCGGAAUUACUGGGCGUAAAGGGCGCGUAGGCGGAUAGUUUAGUCAGAGGUAAAAGCCCAGGGCUCAACCUUGGAACUGCCUUUGAUACUGGCUAUCUUGAGUUCGGGAGAGGUGAGUGGAAUGCCGAGUGUAGAGGUGAAAUUCGUAGAUAUUCGGCGGAACACCAGUGGCGAAGGCGACUCACUGGCCCGAUACUGACGCUGAGGCGCGAAAGCCAGGGGAGCGAACGGG